rnacentral:rRNA from 1 species
UACGGAGGAUCCGAGCGUUAUCCGGAUUUAUUGGGUUUAAAGGGUGCGCAGGCGGGAGAUUAAGUCGGCGGUGAAAUUUUGCAGCUCAACUGUAAAAGUGCCUUCGAAACUGGUUUCCUUGAGUGUAGAUAAAGUAGGCGGAAUUUGUGGUGUAGCGGUGAAAUGCACAGAUAUCACGAGGAACUCCGAUUGCGCAGGCAGCUUACUAAACUACUACUGACGCUCAGGCACGAAGGCGUGGGGAUCAAACAGGAUUAGAUACCCCCGUAGUCCCU